rnacentral:rRNA from 1 species
AGACCUCAGGUCAGGCAGGGCUACCCGCUGAGUUUAAGCAUAUCAAUAAGCGGAGGAAAAGAAACUAACAAGGAUUCCCAUAGUAACGGCGAGCGAACCGGGAACAGCACACCAUGAGAAUCGGUCGCCCUUGGCGUUCGAAUUGUAG